CUGCUUCCUUGCAUGAGAACUAAAACUAAAGAACUAAGAGGGUAGGAGAAUUCUUUUCAAUUAUGAUGUCCUGCUUUUUUUAAAAGUUGUGAAGUGUGGAAAGCCAUUAGUUUCUUCUUGAAAAAUAGAGCCUGAGAGUUCACAAGUCUCCUUUGGGAAGACUCCUAUCAGGGACACCCAGCUGCUUCGAGAGUGCAGCAGACAGGGCAGAGUGAGGCAGGUUGGCUCCAUGUGCCACAGCAGGAUCAAAACAGGACCUUUCAGGAUCCUUGCAGAGGACAUGCUGUGAUGUGCUGUUACCUUCCAAAACUGUCCUUGUGAAGCUGGAAUGUGCACGUUCUUCUAGAAUUUGCGUGGUCCUGGGAAGAAGAAGAGAGAUGGCUGUAACUGUGACGAUUUAUGAAGGCACAUAAUUCCUCUUGAUUACUCCUGAUGCCCUGGCUCUCCAGUGCAUUAGGAGAGGUGACAGUAGAACCUUGGCUUCAAUUCAUAUGCCCAUGAAACAUAUGUGCUGCUCCUGGGACAGCCUCACUGGACAGAGAGUUGGAAAGAAGGGGAGAACAAAUGAAAUAUCGCAAAGUCCACACCCCCUCCUCCUGUGCCCAUUUGAGUCCUGGCAGUGUUUAUCUGGCUGAGACAGAUACCAACCAAGGAAUCCAGGUCAGAGCUGAAGUUCUCCAAGGCUAAUGCAAAAAGAUUGGGCUUGAUCUAGUGUUCCAAAUCUGGUAGUCCAGACCAGUAAAGGCAGAUACCUGCCUGCAUAGUGCUUCCAUGCCACCACGAAUGCUGGUGCUAUCAGGCUAGGAAGGAGGUGCUCAGCUCUUUUACAAAUGGACCGGAGUGUAAGAACUCUUUUCUUCUCUUUUUCAUGCACUGCUGAUGAUACAAAUCUCUCUCACUACUUUGCUUCUUCCAAACCUGCUCUGCGGGUUUCUGUCUAUUCAGCUCUACCUCCCCCAUUGUGAGAACUGACACCCUUUUUCUGGAAGUCUCAGGAAGCAUCUCAGUUUAAUAAGCAUCACAGGGAAGAAACGUUUCUUUUAAAAAUACCAUCUUGGGGAUGAAUAUUUUGUUGGUGCUGUCAGAAAGAAGCUUCCACAGAGCUCAGCCCCAGCAGCUCCCUCAGGUGCCCGUGUGGACAGAGAUCCACAGACCCGCUCCACACCCUAAGGGCCCCUCUUGCCGCUCAGAGACAGCAAAGCUGCACAGAGAAGGGCUUCUCCCUGCACGGCUGCACUGCUGCCUCCAUGAGCAACAGGGUAGUUUUGUAAGAAGCUAAUGAUGCUAAGGAGUGCAAACACUGAGUCUUACGUGCACGCUUAUUGCAGUGAAACAGUAAAUGUGAUUUGUUCACCAUUCUUCCUGUACAGGGGGUACAGGACAAUGCAGCAAGUGGUGCUGUCAGAACAAGCAGUGUCAGCAGUAGAGGGAGAGGCCUCUGCUGUUUGCGUCAUCCUGCAAGUAUAAGCAGAAAGCCAAGCAGCAGAA